rnacentral:rRNA from 2 species
UCGGAGAGUUUGAUCCUGGCUCAGGAUGAACGCUGGCGGCGUGCCUAAUACAUGCAAGUCGAGCGAACUGAUUAGAAGCUUGCUUCUAUGACGUUAGCGGCGGACGGGUGAGUAACACGUGGGCAACCUGCCUGUAAGACUGGGAUAACUUCGGGAAACCGAAGCUAAUACCGGAUAGGAUCUUCUCCUUCAUGGGAGAUGAUUGAAAGAUGGUUUCGGCUAUCACUUACAGAUGGGCCCGCGGUGCAUUAGCUAGUUGGUGAGGUAACGGCUCACCAAGGCAACGAUGCAUAGCCGACCUGAGAGGGUGAUCGGCCACACUGGGACUGAGACACGGCCCAGACUCCUACGGGAGGCAGCAGUAGGGAAUCUUCCGCAAUGGACGAAAGUCUGACGGAGCAACGCCGCGUGAGUGAUGAAGGCUUUCGGGUCGUAAAACUCUGUUGUUAGGGAAGAACAAGUACAAGAGUAACUGCUUGUACCUUGACGGUACCUAACCAGAAAGCCACGGCUAACUACGUGCCAGCAGCCGCGGUAAUACGUAGGUGGCAAGCGUUAUCCGGAAUUAUUGGGCGUAAAGCGCGCGCAGGCGGUUUCUUAAGUCUGAUGUGAAAGCCCACGGCUCAACCGUGGAGGGUCAUUGG